rnacentral:rRNA from 1 species
AAUCAACGCUGGCGGCGUGCCUAACACAUGCAAGUCGAACGAGAAGGGGACUUCGGUCCCUGAGUACAGUGGCGCACGGGUGAGUAACACGUGACUUAUCUACCCUCGAGUGGGGAAUAACUUCGGGAAACCGAGGCUAAUACCGCAUAAUACCCACGGGUCAAAGGAGCAAUUCGCUUGAGGAGGAGGUCGCGGCCGAUUAGUUAGUUGCGGGGUAAUGGCCCCACCAAGACGGUGAUCGGUAUCCGGCCUGAGAGGGCGCACGGACACACUGGAACUGAGACACGGUCCAGACUCCUACGGGAGGCAGCAGUGGGGAAUUUUGCGCAAUGGGGGAAACCCUGACGCAGCAACGCCGCGUGGAGGAUGAAGUCUCUUGGGACGUAAACUCCUUUCGAUCGGGACGAUUAUGACGGUACCGGAAGAAGAAGCCCCGGCUAACUUCGUG